AAAAACAUGUCCUCUUGAUUAUAUUUUGAGGUCUGGCCUGCUCACUGAUAAAUUUAAAGAGCCGCGGUAUUUUGACCGUGCAAAGGUAGCAUAAUCAUUAGUCUUUUAAUUAAGGGCUGGAAUGAAUGGCUUGACGAGAAAUUAACUGUCUCUUAAUAAUUUAUAAAAUUUAACUUUUGAGUCAAAAGGCUUAAAUUUUUCUUUAGGACGAGAAGACCCUAUAGAGCUUAACAUAUAAUUUAUAUUUAUACAUUAGAUGAUUUUUAUAUAUUUAAUGAUAAUGUUUUGUUGGGGUGACAUGAAGAAUUAAUAAACUCUUCAUUAUAAAAUCAUUAAUUUAUGUUUAUUUUUGAUCCAUAAUUUAUGAUCAUAAGAUUAAGUUACCUUAGGGAUAACAGCGUAAUUGUUUUUGAGAGCUCAAAUCAACAAAGCAGAUUGCGACCUCGAUGUUGGAUUAAGAAAAAUUUUGGG
rnacentral:rRNA from 1 species